UUCCAUAUGGUCUAGUGGUUAGGAUCCGGCGUUUUCACCGCCGUGGCACGGGUUCGAUUCCCGUUGUGGGAA
rnacentral:tRNA from 1 species